GCAAGUGUUUGUGGGACUGAUGGUUUGACGUAUAAAAGUGUGUGCGCUCUUAAUAGAACGUCAUGUCUGCUUGGAAUGCAUAUUACUGUUAAAUUCACUGGAUCUUGCGAUUUACAAAACCGAUAUCUCUUUAUCAGUCCAUUGCAUAAAAACACCGCGAUACUCGAACUCAACCAGCCUGGCAAAAUACAGUGUUUAUUCCUUGGUGACCCUAUAUCAAUUACUUGGACAAAACUUGAAAUGGACAGUCUCCCACCGCGCAUGAUCCCCAUUAAAGACACGCUGGUCAUACCGCAAGUUCGAGUCGCAGACGAGGGUACCUACAGAUGUGAAGCGUAUAAUGGAUUAUCUAUCGUCGAAGCAUUUGUCAAAAUAACAGUUGAUUACGAUACAGAGAAUAUGAACCUGGACUACAGUAAGCGACCCAAGGCAUCAUGCCUCCUUCCUCUUCGCUAUGGUUACUGCACUCAACAUGACGUCAGGUGGUAUUUUGACGCCGCGACACGAACAUGUCAGCCCUUUGUGUACAGUGGUUGUGGUAGAAAUGAGAAUAACUUUAAGACGGAGAAGCAGUGUAAAUCAGCUUGUGGCCACUGGGCUGGUGACAUCUGUCAGUUACCGAAGAAGAGAGGCCCAUGCAAGGCAUAUAUCCCAAGAUGGCAUUACGAUAAAGACAAAGCUCAAUGCACGAGAUUUAUCUACGGCGGUUGCCGUGGCAAUGCAAACCGGUUCUCUUCGAAGCUGUCAUGUGAAGCUAAGUGCAGAGAAAGGGUAUUUAUCUCCUUGUAUCAAGCUCUACAUGAAUGCAGUGAACAGCCACAGGAAAGGACUAUUCAGACCAAGAUGCACUUCAAGAGGAGAAUUUCAAAAGACCCAGUGCCAUGCCUCAGUUUGUUUCUGUAUGGAUGAGAAUGGCGUCGAAAUGCAAGGAACCAGGGUACCGAAUGGACAAUACAUCAACUGUACUUCAAAAGGUUUUGCCAUCCAGUUUGGCGGAAUUAGUACCACUCCCAUAGAAAGACUCUCGAGAAAAUGAAAAAAGAAGAAGAAGAAAAAAAGAAAAAGAAAAAGAAAAUGAAACAAGUAAAAAUGAUCAAAGCAAGUUUACUGUAAUUUCCUGUUCCACUUUCCUUAGUAAACCACUGUCUCACCCAGAGAAAGACCCUCGACAAAAACCCCUUCUCCGGUCAACACGUUCCGCAAUGCAAAUCCGACGGGACGUACCAUAACGUCCAGUGUAGCCCGCU
rnacentral:misc_RNA from 1 species